rnacentral:rRNA from 1 species
UACGUAGGGUGCGAGCGUUAAUCGGAAUUACUGGGCGUAAAGCGUGCGCAGGCGGUUCGCCAAGUCAGGUGUGAAAUCCCCGGGCUUAACCUGGGAAUUGCGCUUGAAACUAGCGAGCUUGAGUGUGGCAGAGGGGGGUGGAAUUCCACGUGUAGCAGUGAAAUGCGUAGAGAUGUGGAGGAACACCGAUGGCGAAGGCAGCCCCCUGGGUCAACACUGACGCUCAUGCACGAAAGCGUGGGGAGCAAACGGG